GAUGAACGCUAGCGGCAGGCCUAACACAUGCAAGUCGAGGGGCAUCGCGGUGCAGCAAUGCACUGGCGGCGACCGGCGUACGGGUGCGUAACGCGUAUGCAACCUGCCCCGCACCGGGGGAUAGCCCGCCGAAAGGCGGAUUAAUACCCCAUGGUCCCGGGGGCCCGCAUGGGCAUCCGGGUAAAGCCUUGGCGGUGCGGGAUGGGCAUGCGUGCCAUUAGCUGGCUGGUGGGGUAACGGCCCACCAGGGCAACGAUGGCUAGGGGGUCUGAGAGGAUGGUCCCCCAACUGGUACUGAGACACGGACCAGACUCCUACGGGAGCAGCAGUGAGGAAUAUUGGUCAAUGGGCGAAGCCUGAACCAGCCAUGCGCGUGCGGGAUGAAGGCCCUACGGGUUGUAAACCGCUUUUCCCCGGGAAGAAUAACCCCGAUGAGUCGGGGAUGCCGGUACCGGGGAAUAAGGAUCGGCUAACUCCGUG
rnacentral:rRNA from 1 species